rnacentral:rRNA from 1 species
UGAACGCUGGCGGUAGGCCUAACACAUGCAAGUCGAACGGCAGCACAGUAAGAGCUUGCUCUUACGGGUGGCGAGUGGCGGACGGGUGAGGAAUACAUCGGAAUCUACUUUUUCGUGGGGGAUAACGUAGGGAAACUUACGCUAAUACCGCAUACGACCUACGGGUGAAAGCAGGGGAUCUUCGGACCUUGCGCGAUUGAAUGAGCCGAUGUCGGAUUAGCUAGUUGGCGGGGUAAAGGCCCACCAAGGCGACGAUCCGUAGCUGGUCUGAGAGGAUGAUCAGCCACACUGGAGCUGAGACCCGCCCGCGACUCCUGCGGGGGGAGGCGGGGGGGAAUAUGGAACAAGGGCCGCAGGCCUGACCCACCCAUCCCGGGGGGGUAAAAAGGGCUUUGGGGUUGUAAGCCCUUUUUUUUGGAAAAAAAAACCAGCCGUUUACUCCCCCCCUUUUCUGACGGUACCAAAAAAAAAACCCCCGGCUAAUUUCGUC